rnacentral:rRNA from 1 species
GCUUGUCUCAAAGAUUAAGCCAUGCAUGUCUAAGUAUAAGCAUCAUACAGUGAAACUGCGAAUGGCUCAUUAUAUCAGUUAUAAUUUACUUGAUAGUCCCUACUACUUGGAUAACCGUAGUAAUUCUAGAGCUAAUACAUGCGCAAAGCCCCGACUCACGAAGGGGUGCAUUUGUUAGAUUAAACCGACCCUUCGGGUUCUGGUGAAUCAUAAUAACUGAGCGAACCGCAUGCGAAAGCGGCGGUGGUUCAUUCAAGUUUCUGCCCUAUCAGCUUUCGAUGGUAGGGUAUUGGCCUACCAUGGCGUUAACGGGUAACGGAGAAUUAGGGUUCGAUUCCGGAGAGGGAGCCUGAGAGAUGGCUACCACAUCCAAGGAAGGCAGCAGG